GAAUGCUGACAUAAGUAACGAUAAAGCGGGUGAAAAGCCCGCUCGCCGGAAGACCAAGGGUUCCUGUCCAACGUUAAUCGGGGCAGGGUGAGUCGACCCCUAAGGCGAGGCCGAAAGGCGUAGUCGAUGGGAAACGGGUUAAUAUUCCCGUACUUGGUGUUACUGCGAAGGGGGGACGGAGAAGGCUAUGUUGGCCGGGCGACGGUUGUCCCGGUUUAAGCGUGUAGGUGUGUGUUCCAGGUAAAUCCGGUUCACUUUAACACUGAGGCGUGACGACGAGGCACUACGGUGCUGAAGCAACAAAUGCCCUGCUUCCAGGAAAAGCCUCUAAGCAUCAGGUAACAUCAAAUCGUACCCCAAACCGACACAGGUGGUCAGGUAGAGAAUACCAAGGCGCUUGAGAGAACUCGGGUGAAGGAACUAGGCAAAAUGGUGCCGUAACUUCGGGAGAAGGCACGCUGACACGUAGGUGAAGUGAUUUACUCACGGAGCUGAAGUCAGUCGAAGAUACCAGCUGGCUGCAACUGUUUAUUAAAAACACAGCACUGUGCAAACACGAAAGUGGACGUAUACGGUGUGACGCCUGCCCGGUGCCGGAAGGUUAAUUGAUGGGGUCAGCGCAAGCGAAGCUCCUGAUCGAAGCCCCGGUAAACGGCGGCCGUAACUAUAACGGUCCUAAGGUAGCGAAAUUCCUUGUCGGGUAAGUUCCGACCUGCACGAAUGGCGUAAUGAUGGCCAGGCUGUCUCCACCCGAGACUCAGUGAAAUUGAACUCGCUGUGAAGAUGCAGUGUACCCGCGGCAAGACGGAAAGACCCCGUGAACCUUUACUAUAGCUUGACACUGAACAUUGAGCCUUGAUGUGUAGGAUAGGUGGGAGGCUUUGAAGUGUGGACGCCAGUCUGCAUGGAGCCGACCUUGAAAUACCACCCUUUAAUGUUUGAUGUUCUAACGUGGACCCGUAAUCCGGGUUGCGGACAGUGUCUGGUGGGUAGUUUGACUGGGGCGGUCUCCUCCUAAAGAGUAACGGAGGAGCACGAAGGUUGGCUAAUCCUGGUCGGACAUCAGGAGGUUAGUGCAAUGGCAUAAGCCAGCUUGACUGCGAGCGUGACGGCGCGAGCAGGUGCGAAAGCAGGUCAUAGUGAUCCGGUGGUUCUGAAUGGAAGGGCCAUCGCUCAACGGAUAAAAGGUACUCCGGGGAUAACAGGCUGAUACCGCCCAAGAGUUCAUAUCGACGGCGGUGUUUGGCACCUCGAUGUCGGCUCAUCACAUCCUGGGGCUGAAGUAGGUCCCAAGGGUAUGGCUGUUCGCCAUUUAAAGUGGUACGCGAGCUGGGUUUAGAACGUCGUGAGACAGUUCGGUCCCUAUCUGCCGUGGGCGCUGGAGAACUGAGGGGGGCUGCUCCUAGUACGAGAGGACCGGAGUGGACGCAUCACUGGUGUUCGGGUUGUCAUGCCAAUGGCACUGCCCGGUAGCUAAAUGCGGAAGAGAUAAGUGCUGAAAGCAUCUAAGCACGAAACUUGCCCCGAGA
rnacentral:rRNA from 2 species